rnacentral:rRNA from 1 species
UUGAAGGCCCUGCAAAGCAGCAUCGCGGUGGCGGAGCGUCGAAUGCGACGCCCAACACGCAAAACAAGCGGUGAACGCUUUGGGGUGGGGUGACUGCGUACCUUUUGUAUAAUGGGUCAGCGACUUAUAUUCUGUAGCAAGGUUAACCGUAUAGGGGAGCCGUAGGGAAACCGAGUCUUAACCGGGCGUUAAGUUGCAGGGUAUAGACCCGAAACCCGGUGAUCUAGCCAUGGGCAGGUUGAAGGUUGGGUAACACUAACUGGAGGACCGAACCGACUAAUGUUGAAAAAUUAGCGGAUGACCUGUGGCUGGGGGUGAAAGGCCAAUCAAACCGGGAGAUAGCUGGUUCUCCCCGAAAGCUAUUUAGGUAGCGCCUCGUGAAUUCAUCUCCGGGGGUAGAGCACUGUUUCGGCUAGGGGGCCAUCCCGGCUUACCAACCCGAUGCAAACUGCGAAUACCGGAGAAUGUUAUCACGGGAGACACACGGCGGGUGCUAACGUCCGUCGUGAAGAGGGAAACAACCCAGACCGCCAGCUAAGGUCCCAAAGUCAUGGUUAAGUGGGAAACGAUGUGGGAAGGCCCAGACAGCCAGGAUGUUGGCUUAGAAGCAGCCAUCAUUUAAAGAAAGCGUAAUAGCUCACUGGUCGAGUCGGCCUGCGCGGAAGAUGUAACGGGGCUAAACCAUGCACCGAAGCUGCGGCAGCGACGCUGAUGCGUUGUUGGGUAGGGGAGCGUUCUGUAAGCCUGCGAAGGUGUCCUGUGAGGGUUGCUGGAGGUAUCAGAAGUGCGAAUGCUGACAUAAGUAACGAUAAAGCGGGUGAAAAGCCCGCUCGCCGGAAGACCAAGGGUUCCUGUCCAACGUUAAUCGGGGCAGG